UAGCAAGAAAAUGCCCAUUGGCUUGCUUA
rnacentral:piRNA from 1 species